rnacentral:rRNA from 1 species
GAUGAACGCUAGCGGCAGGCUUAAUACAUGCAAGUUGAGGGGCAGCAUGAUAUACGCGAGUAUAUUGAUGGCGACCGGCGGACGGGUGAGUAAUAGGUAGGAGACCUACCUCAUACAGGGGGAUAGCAUAGAGAAAUCUGUGGUAAUACCCCAUGAGGUUAUAUGAAUAGAGGCAUAUAAUCAAAGCAUAAGCGAUUAUGCGGUAUGAGAGGGGCCUACUGACCAUUAGCUAGUUGGUGAGGUAAGGGCUCACCAAGGCGAAGAUGGUUAGGGGUUUUGAGAGGGAGACCCCCCACAUUGGAACUGAGAGACGGUCCAGACUCCUACGGGAGGCAGCAGUAGGGAAUAUUGGGCAAUGGGCGAAAGCCUGACCCAGCCAUGCCGCGUGAAGGAAGACGGCCUUAUGGGUUGUAAACUUCUUUACUACGCGAAUAGAGGUUAGUACGAGAUACUAAUAGGAAGGUAGUGUAGUAAAAGCACCGGCUAACUCCGUGCC